rnacentral:rRNA from 1 species
UACAGAGGGUGCAAGCGUUGUUCGGAAUUAUUGGGCGUAAAGAGCUCGUAGGCGGCUUGUCGCGUCGGAUGUGAAAGCCCGGGGCUUAACUCCGGGUCUGCAUUCGAUACGGGCAGGCUAGAGUGUGGUAGGGGAGAUCGGAAUUCCUGGUGUAGCGGUGAAAUGCGCAGAUAUCAGGAGGAACACCGGUGGCGAAGGCGGAUCUCUGGGCCAUUACUGACGCUGAGGAGCGAAAGCGUGGGGAGCGAACAGG